rfam:Clostridium sp. CAG:299 genomic scaffold, scf279
GGGGUCUUAGCUCAGCUGGGAGAGCAUCUGCCUUACAAGCAGAGGGUCAUAGGUUCGAGCCCUAUAGGCCCCA